CAGGGAUUAGAUACCCUGGUAGUCCACGCUGUAAACGAUGUCGACUUGGAGGUUGUGCCCUUGAGGCGUGGCUUCCGGAGCUAACGCGUUAAGUCGACCGCCUGGGGAGUACGGCCGCAAGGUUAAAACUCAAAUGAAUUGACGGGGGCCCGCACAAGCGGUGGAGCAUGUGGUUUAAUUCGAUGCAACGCGAAGAACCUUACCUACUCUUGACAUCCACGGAAUUCGCCAGAGAUGGCUUAGUGCCUUCGGGAACCGUGAGACAGGUGCUGCAUGGCUGUCGUCAGCUCGUGUUGUGAAAUGUUGGGUUAAGUCCCGCAACGAGCGCAACCCUUAUCCUUUGUUGCCAGCACGUAAUGGUGGGAACUCAAAGGAGACUGCCGGUGAUAAACCGGAGGAAGGUGGGGAUGACGUCAAGUCAUCAUGGCCCUUACGAGUAGGGCUACACACGUGCUACAAUGGCAUAUACAAAGAGAAGCGAACUCGCGAGAGCAAGCGGACCUCAUAAAGUAUGUCGUAGUCCGGAUUGGAGUCUGCAGCUCGACUCCAUGAAGUCGGAAUCGCUAGUAAUCGUAGAUCAGAAUGCUACGGUGAAUACGUUCCCGGGCCUUGUACACACCGCCCGUCACACCAUGGGAGUGGGUUGCAAAAGAAGUAGGUAGCUUAACCUUCGGGAGGGCGCUUACCACUUUGUGAUUCAUGACUGGGGUGAAGUCGUAACAAGGUAACC
rnacentral:rRNA from 1 species